GUAUAUUAUUUAAUUUCCUUAUUCAAAUUGUUAGAUCUAUACAUUUGUGAAAACAUUUUUGCAUAUUAAUUUCAUUUAAUGAAUCUCUGAAAGUCAAACAAUAAAUACUGAAUGGGAAAUAAGGAUGCAAAGCUUGUUAACAUCACAGUUGGAUAUGAAAUGGGAAAUUUAACCCAUGCAUUUUGUGUGGGAUGGUGGCAUCUUCAUAGCAGAAAGACGUAUACAGUGUAAUAUAUAGCCCAGUCAAUACGCUCAACCCACUGAACUCUCUACCGAUAUAGCGUUCUACAUAAUACUGCUUAAUUAGCAUGGUGACUGGAUAGAAGCCCUUUGCAGGCUAGUACAUGAGCAUGAAGCAUGUCGAAAGCUAUGUACACAACAACAUGGAAGAAUGUGUAAUCAAGCCUGUGUUAGGCUACGUGAGAAUCCACCACAAUUUUUUUUGUCAAUGGAUGGAGGACAUUCCCAAUUUGAAAAUCCGGUCCUACUACUUGCAAAAGUUAGGUUUGUCAUUUUACCACAUACUGCAUCUCUUACUAGACCUUCACACAUUCAUGACCGACAUUGUCUACAACACCAUACUAAAGCAGUUACAGAUUCUCAUGUAAGUUCAAUUUGAUCAGGAAGUUCACAUCUUAGCUUGAGUCCUGGAUCAUGUCCAUAAGUCCAUUAGUUUUAAGAGUCUUUACUCAUUUCUAUCAGUUUCUUGUGGAGCUCAUGAGAUACUUGUACAUAAUUGAAAUUCUUUAUGCAUCAUCAAAUGUCCUUCUACUGUAGUUGAAACGUAUCACAUAUACACUGUAUUAAAGGGGGAAAUAUUCGAGUGGGUUUUAUUUUCGUUACAUUUGCAAUUACUUUAAUGAUCAGUAAAAUAAGCAAUAGCGAAGCACUAAAGUAUUUUGGGGUGAAUGACAUCAUCUAAAGGUAAUGAUUCUACCUCCAUUUAUUGACCGUACUAAAUAAGCUGAUUCUUCAAGAAACUUGCUGAACAUUGCUGUACACAAGACAGAAGCAUGAACAAAAUUAUCUUGAUUAUGUAGAUUUUUGAGUGAAUUUAUCAACUAUUUGUUUUAUUAUUUAACAAACACAAAACUGCAUCAAGUAUGUAGGGAGUGGUAUUUAACCUAUUAGCAUUCAGUAUAUGAAAUUACUCCUUCAGUGUAAAGGGAUAUCUGUUUUGGUCGACAUUUGUCUCCUGUGGUUCACAAAUAAACAUUAUUACAUGUAGCAGUAUUUAUUUGAAUAGCUUAAGGGGGAAACUUUUAUUAUCAAGAAUGGUAAACACUUAUCCAAAGGUAAAUAUAUAUGUACUAUGUUUUAUAUGAGAUAUGGGAAGUAAUUCUUGCAAGCAUGAAAUAGGGGGAUGAAACACAAAGUAUUCAAAUUUAAUUACAUGUUUACAUAUUUCCAAUGUUUGAAUAUAUAUGAAUUUCAAUCACUGCUGAAAAAUCUUUAAUCACCUAAAGAUAUGAAAAACAUGCAGUUUUUGCUGCUCUACCUGUUUGGCUUUGUAAAACAGUAACUUAGAAUCGUACAGGACUUCACAUCAAUGCUCGAUAAGCUCUUGUCUAAAUCCGUUAAUUGCUAUUGUCAGUGAGGUUUUUAUUGUAAAAAACCAAAAGAAAUCUACACAAAAAUUCAUAAUACAAUCAAGCAUUUGAUCCUCAUUCCUUGACAAUAUUUCUCUGACACUGAAUUGGAAGAAACGGAGUCCAGAUCUAGACAGGUGGAUAAUUAAAGUAUUCAAAAUGUUUUGUGAUCUGAGAAUGAUAUCAUAAACAAACAGAAAUGCAAUGCCUAGUGGAAAUGCAAACUAACAUUACUGUGUGGUUGACCGAUGUGGCCUUGGGUGACCACCAUCAUCAGAGUCAUAGUAAAUGGCCCUGAUGAUGGCCAUUCAAAGCUAAAAUUACCUGUGGUUAAUCAUGCAAUAAUAACAAAUGCAUUUUCACUAGGUGUUAGAUUUCUGCUUAUUCAUAUGAAUUAUAUAAAACAUUAACUAUGUAUCAGUAUAUCAAGCUGGAAUGUCUGAGGUGGUCAAUUAUUUGAGCUAAUUGUACAUCUGGACAUCUAUACUGGGUACAUCUACACUAUGUAAGAAAUCCAGACUAGGGCACUACAGCCUGACUGAUUGCCUCAGAUGGAAAAUUUUCAUACAGGAUGAACAACAGUCAUUUAGAGUUCGUUUGACAGUCUUGAUCAAGUUAAAUUUCUGCAUAAUCAAAGCCAUCUAAAUUCGGCAGGUUUCCAAAUUUUUCAGUCGAAGAUUUUACUGUUUUUAGAUUUCAAUUUUUUUUUUUAAUAAGCUGGUUAAUUUCUAAUAAGAAUUAUUAAUUUUAAACAGGCCUGGCUAAUUUUUGAUAGCGAGCGCAUUAUCUUGAAAUGUGUUUUAUGUUCAAAGGGCUGUUUAAACACAGUUUUACAAACUUGAAAGGUUUGGGCAUUCUUACAUCAUACAAUUAGUAACUUGAAAAGAUUGAGAGUAAAAAAAAAAGAAAGUAGA